rnacentral:rRNA from 1 species
AUUGAACGCUGGCGGCAUGCCUUACACAUGCAAGUCGAACGGAUUCAAGAGGCUUGCUUCUUGAGUUAGUGGCGAACGGGUGAGUAAAGCAUCGGAACGUACCCAGUUGUGGGGGAUAACGUAGCGAAAGUUACGCUAAUACCGCAUACGCACUGAGGUGGAAAGCGGGGGACCGAAAGGCCUCGCGCAAUUGGAGCGGCCGAUGUCGGAUUAGCUAGUUGGUGAGGUAAAGGCUCACCAAGGCGACGAUCCGUAGCUGGUCUGAGAGGACGACCAGCCAAACUGGAACUGAGACACGGUCCAGACUCCUACGGGAGGCAGCAGUGGGGAAUUUUGGACAAUGGGCGAAAGCCUGAUCCAGCCAUGCCGCGUGAGUGAAGAAGGCCUUCGGGUUGUAAAGCUCUUUCAGACGGAAAGAAAUCUUUCGGGUGAAUAUCCCGGAAGGAUGACGGUACCGUAAGAAGAAGCACCGGCUAACUACGUGCCAGCCGCCGCUGUAA